AUCGUUACCCGAGCCCAGCGCCGGGCCAAUGUCCUAUCUCAGGGUUUCCCACGUCGCUCGCUCCUUGACGGCUGACCGACACUGGGUCUGAGGUGUAAGCGCUUUCCAGGCCCUUCCCUGGGGCUUGGAGGGGAAUGGCGCAAAGGACUUUUCUUACAAGCAGAGAGGUUGGACUCCUGAAAGCCUGGACAGUGUCAUCAUCUUCACCUGAAGAGUGGAAAAAUUCAAGCAAAGAGUUUCUCAGGAAAUGACCAAGUAAAACAUCUGGAGUAAGUCAGCAGGAUUCACAGUGACUCCCCCCAACCAGCUGGUGGUGUUUCUCUCUGAAAGCAGCGCUUGGUACCAGUGUGAACUCUCUUCCUUCAGAAGUCUCAUCAGGUGGACGUAAUACGAGGGUCUGGUCCCCCAUACCUUGAGGACUCCGCUGCCAUCUGACAAUUACAGACAAUCCAAUUGUCCUCAUCCUUGAGGACUCUGCUGCCAUCUGACAAUUAGAGACAGUCCAAAACAUGCCACACUUUGAUCCUAAACACAUUCCUGGCUUUGGUCACUUUUGAAAAGUUCCUGAGUUAUGAGAAAUCAAUAAUAAGAGUGUUCAAAACCUGAACACUCUUUUUAGAAAUACCUGCUGGAACUACAUAUAUGAUUUAUGGGGUACUGUCUUGUAGUAUCUGGGAAAGUAGACCCAUCUAACCUGGAAUGAUCAUAGGCAACAAUGACCAAAAAUGGGGAUCUUUUGAUAUACCUAAAGUAAUUUAUUUGUGCACACCAUUGGAAAGAGCUGGUUUUAGAACCAGACAUGUAAAUAAGAGACUGACUUCCACUGGCACCUAAAAACUUCUAAAAGAAAUCCUGAAAGAAAAAGUCACCUUCAUUCAAGAGACCAUUUGGGCCUUCAUGAGUAACCAGCUGAGAAGCUGAGAUCAGAUAGAAAUGAAAUUCAUAGAAUAGGACCCUGACAAGUACUCUUGAAUACAGGUUUCUGAUAACUUUGGAGAUCAUAUCAUUGGACUAAGUAACAACUUUCAGGUAUGUAAUAAACUGAUGUGUUCCUUAGAUUGCUAACUCAACAUCAAGCAGAACACGAAUUAAUUACAUGUGACUGAACUGACAGAAGACUGAAAAGAUUUGCUGACUUUUUAUUUAAAACAUUGCUGGUUUUUUUUUUUA
rnacentral:lncRNA from 10 species